rnacentral:rRNA from 1 species
AUUGAACGCUGGCGGCAGGCCUAACACAUGCAAGUCGAGCGGAUGAAGGGAGCUUGCUCCUGGUUUCGGCGGCGGACGGGUGAGUAGUGCCUAGGAAUCUGCCUGUUAGUGUUUGAUAACGGCCGGAAACGGGCGCUAAUACCGCAUACCUCCUGAGGGCGAACGUGGGAGAUCUUGGGACCUCACGCUAUCAGAUGAGCCGAGGUCGGAUUAGCUAGUUGGUGGGGUAAAGGCCUACCAAGGCGACGAUCCGUAGCUGGUCUGAGAGGAUGAUCAGCCACACUGGAACUGAGACACGGUCCAGACUCCUACGGGAGGCAGCAGUGGGGAAUAUUGGACAAUGGGCGCAAGCCUGAUCCAGCCAUGCCGCGUGUGUGAAGAAGGCCUUCGGAUUGUAAAGCCCUUUUGGUGGGGAGGAAAAGCAGCAGGUUAAUACCCCGCUGUUUUGACGGUACCCAAAGAAUAAGCACCGGCUAACUUCGUG